rnacentral:tRNA from 1 species
UAAGGGUGAAAUCAAUUUUGAUAUUCCAUUUACAAUGGAAUUAAGUAUUUAAGUACCGCUCUUAA